CAUCUGGUCCUAAUAGUCAAGCCCAAACAAAGACAAACCAGCAUGUUUGGGCCCAAACUUAAAAGAGCCCUAAGACUUCAACUGUAGUUUUCUUCUCUUCCAAGAACCCUCUGAAACCCCCUUAUUAUUAGUCGAAUAUUCGUGCUUGAGGGGAUUGGAAUUUUUAGAUACUGAAAUUGAGUAUUGGGGUUUGUGAGAGAGAGAGUAAAUGGCUUUAACGAACUUGAUUCUGACAGUGGCCGGAGUUAGCGCAGUGAUUCUGCUGAUGAGGAGCGAUGUGAAGCAAUCGGCCUCAAUCUUCAAGCGAAACGUUCGUCAGAUCCGACACUGGCUCGAACAAGAGUCCUCCGCUGCCGCCAAGGAGAUGAAGAAUGCUAAACCCAAGGAGCUUGGGAAAGAUCUUCCAAAAGAGGACAAGCACUAGGUGUCUUGGACCGGACGUGGGAACUAUAUCAUAAAGCUUCUUGUUUUUCCAUUUUCUUUUGGUUUACCAAUCUAUCAUGUACAAAUUUUUGACCAAAACAAUUUUGGUUGGUGUUUUUAAGCGCACUAUAUAAUAUGCACUGAAAAAGGUGUUCCAGGAAA